AUGUACUUCUAUAGCUUGUUAAUUCCUUCUCGGCUUGUUUUAUUUUAUAUGCGUGUGUAUGGACAAACUAAUGUGUCUUUGUGUUGGUCGUUCCUUCCUUGCCGAUAUGGCAAUUAUUUUAGAUGCUGGCCAGUUAAGGUUUGUUGCAAAUAAUAGUGGAUGUUGGGCAGCCUCCACACCGCAAGAGAUGGAGAUGGUUGACAUCGGAACCGGUGGUUGAGGUCGAGUACGCCUCGUUGUCGUCGCCGUCUACAUCCGUUACGGUGCGGCUGCAGUGGCUUUUCCUCUUCCUAUUGCUUUUAUUCUCUCCUGUUAUCCCUUGGUGUUCAUAAUCUCAGGACGACACUUGAUUUCAGUGUGAGGAACUUGCUGUUUCUGGCACCAGAUUCAGCAGGAGGAUAUCUAUGAGGCCUUUCAUUCUUGUGGGAUUCCCACACAUCUUGCAAGUUCAAGGGGGUGAGCUCAGCUGAAUGCGCGGCGACGUACUGUACCUUUGCAAGCCGAGUAUCUUGCUCUAAUUUGUUGACAGGGUAAGAGAGGGCUCAAGAAAGAGACAAGAACUUGUGCUUCAAGCAGCGAAUAUAGCCAGCCUAGAUGAUUCAAAACAAGAACAAGUGUCGGGAAGUUACAGAUGAGGAAGUGCAGCUGGUACGGCCUCUCCGUUUUUGCCCCAAAUCAACCACGGAAAAAACUGCUGGACAAUCAACUUCUUGCCAAUUUAUAGUUGACUUCCUGCUAUGAUUCUCUUCCUAAAAGAAAUUGCAAUCAUCUUGAAACAAGUAAUAUAUCUAGCUACAAAUGCUUAUUCUAGA